rnacentral:rRNA from 1 species
AGUGAACGCUGGCGGUAGGCCUAACACAUGCAAGUCGAACGGCAGCACAGGAGAGCUUGCUCUCUGGGUGGCGAGUGGCGGACGGGUGAGGAAUACAUCGGAAUCUACCUUUUCGUGGGGGAUAACGUAGGGAAACUUACGCUAAUACCGCAUAAGACCUUCGGUGAAAGCCGGGACCUCGGGCCUGGCGCGGAUAGAUG